UGUCAUUUAGAGCCUUCCGAGGGUUAUGCAUUAGAAACAGAGUUCCGUGUUGCGUGCUCAGGCUGGACAGACAACGACCUUCCCUUGUCAUAUAAAUUUGCCUACAAAACUAGCGAAGAAGAUUUCGAGCAGUUGAUAUAUUUUGGCUCGAAAAGUGAAACACCUCCUGUGAAGCUACCGCUUGGUAAACCUCACCUGAAUUACUCAGUAUCGGUAAUUGUUGACGCCGCUGAUUCAUUCCUUGCUCCAAAAGUUUCUAUCUUGAACGUUACGGU